GUGCUCACUUCGGCAGCACAUAUACUAAAAUUGGAAUGAUACAGAGAAGAUUAGCAUGGCCACAAUAAAAAAAAAGAAAAUUCCUAUAUUAUU
rnacentral:snRNA from 1 species